GAUGAACGCUAGCGGCAGGCUUAACACAUGCAAGUCGAGGGGCAGCAUACCCGGUGACGGGUGAUGGCGACCGGCGUAAGGGUGAGUAACGCGUGAGCAACAUACCCGUAUCAGUGGGAUAAUACAGGGAAACUUGUUCUAAUAUCACAUAAUAUUAUACAGAGGCAUCUUUGUAUAAUUAAAGUUCAGGCGGAUACGGAAUGGCUCGCGUGACAUUAGCUAGAUGGUAGGGUAAAGGCCUACCAUGGCUAUGAUGUCUAGGGGUUCUGAGAGGGAGGUCCCCCACACUGGAACUGAGACACGGUCCAGACUCCUACGGGAGGCAGCAGUGAGGAAUAUUGGACAAUGGAUGAAAAUCUGAUCCAGCCAUGCCGCGUGCAGGAAGGCGGCCCUAUGGGUUUAAACUGCUUUUGUACGGGAGCAAUAAGGUCUACGAGUAGAUUGAUGAGAGUACUGUACGAAUAAGCAUCGGCUAACUCCGU
rnacentral:rRNA from 1 species